GGAGAGGUGGCUGAGUGGUCGAAAGCACCGCACUCGAAAUGCGGCGUACGGGCAACCGUACCGUGGGUUCGAAUCCCACCCUCUCCG
rnacentral:tRNA from 3 species